GUGCGAACUGCAAACUGAAAGUCUUUUAAAACUAACAACAUCAAACAGACAGUAAGGAUGAACUUGAAUUUGGACGAUUACUUUCGGACCAUUUUCGAGGAGCAACUUUCGUUAAACGAAGCAGAGCAGCAAAAUGAUUUAACAUCGUUGGCAACGAUGCUUUUGGAAAAGCGCCAGGAGGAAAAGAGCGUGGACAGAGAUCUGAACGCUCAGAAAGAGGAGCUUGAAAAAAAGCGGGAGGGAUUCAGACGGAGGAAAGAAGACAUGAUGAAAGAGGAGGAAAAACUAAAGGCAUGCGUCCUGAGUUAUGACCCAUUUCUAAAAGAAAAUGAUUCCAAACAGACUCUUGCCUUGAGGAAAGCAGAAGCAGAGAAAGCUCAAAUUAGACUCAAAGAACACAAAAAUAAAGAGCUUCAGAUCGAGCUUGAAACCCUGCAGGCCCGAGAAAAGCUACUAGAGGCUCAUGUCAAAAAAGCUAGUAUCAUUCAGCGCUUCCUGGAAAGUGCUGUAAAGAUGUCUGUAAAGUUUGAAAGCAUUGGUCAACUUAUAGCCCAUUGUCAGUCGAUCCUGUCUAUCCGUGAGCAGCUAGUGAACAAACAGACUGCAGCAGAGAAAGAAAGAGAACGCAUCGGGCUGGAACUGAGACGACGCAAAAAUGAACAGAGUGUUAUUUCCCUGGACUGCAGUAUCAAACUGUCCCAGCAACAGACACGGCUAGACAACAUACGUGCGCAGGCAUACAGAUAUGUAGGAAGAAAUUAUGAAGCGCAUCCAGUCUACGGCUGCAAAAGAGACACUUCUUUUGGGUCAGAUUAGGGUCACAAUCCUUAAUCUCUAUUACAUGAUUAGCAAAAUUCCUGUGGAUGUUGAGAACACCUUUGCACAGUUGGAAAAGAUUCAUAACUAUUUCCUGGUUCGGACUGGUACAGAUAAAAUGAGAGGCCAUUCCAUAACAUGAAACGAGAAGUUAGGUCUAAAUGUCCACAAAAAUAACCAGAUGUGAC